rnacentral:rRNA from 1 species
GAGUUUGAUCAUGGCUCAGAUUGAACGCUGGCGGCAGGCCUAACACAUGCAAGUCGAACGGUAACAGGAAGAAGCUUGCUUCUUUGCUGACGAGUGGCGGACGGGUGAGUAAUGUCUGGGAAACUGCCUGAUGGAGGGGGAUAACUACUGGAAACGGUAGCUAAUACCGCAUAACGUCGCAAGACCAGAGAGGGGGACCUUCGGGCCUCUUGCCAUCGGAUGUGCCCAGAUGGGAUUAGCUAGUAGGUGGGGUAACGGCUCACCUAGGCGACGAUCCCUAGCUGGUCUGAGAGGAUGACCAGCCACACUGGAACUGAGACACGGUCCAGACUCCUACGGGAGGCAGCAGUGGGGAAUAUUGCACAAUGGGCGCAAGCCUGAUGCAGCCAUGCCGCGUGUAUGAAGAAGGCCUUCGGGUUGUAAAGUACUUUCAGCGGGGAGGAAGGGAGUAAAGUUAAUACCUUUGCUCAUUGACGUUACCCGCAGAAGAAGCACCGGCUAACUCCGUGCCAGCAGCCUCGGUAAUACGGAGGGUGCAAGCGUUAAUCGGAAUUACUGGGCGUAAAGCGCACGCAGGCGGUUUGUUAAGUCAGAUGUGAAAUCCCCGGGCUCAACCUGGGAACUGCAUCUGAUACUGGCAAGCUUGAGUCUCGUAGAGGGGGGUAGAAUUCCAGGUGUAGCGGUGAAAUGCGUAGAGAUCUGGAGGAAUACCGGUGGCGAAGGCGGCCCCCUGGACGAAGACUGACGCUCAGGUGCGAAAGCGUGGGGAGCAAACAGGAUUAGAUACCCUGGUAGUCCACGCCGUAAACGAUGUCGACUUGGAGGUUGUGCCCUUGAGGCGUGGCUUCCGGAGCUAACGCGUUAAGUCGACCGCCUGGGGAGUACGGCCGCAAGGUUAAAACUCAAAUGAAUUGACGGGGGCCCGCACAAGCGGUGGAGCAUGUGGUUUAAUUCGAUGCAACGCGAAGAACCUUACCUGGUCUUGACAUCCACGGAAGUUUUCAGAGAUGAGAAUGUGCCUUCGGGAACCGUGAGACAGGUGCUGCAUGGCUGUCGUCAGCUCGUGUUGUGAAAUGUUGGGUUAAGUCCCGCAACGAGCGCAACCCUUAUCCUUUGUUGCCAGCGGUCCGGCCGGGAACUCAAAGGAGACUGCCAGUGAUAAACUGGAGGAAGGUGGGGAUGACGUCAAGUCAUCAUGGCUCUUACGACCAGGGCUACACACGUGCUACAAUGGCGCAUACAAAGAGAAGCGACCUCGCGAGAGCAAGCGGACCUCAUAAAGUGCGUCGUAGUCCGGAUUGGAGUCUGCAACUCGACUCCAUGAAGUCGGAAUCGCUAGUAAUCGUGGAUCAGAAUGCCACGGUGAAUACGUUCCCGGGCCUUGUACACACCGCCCGUCACACCAUGGGAGUGGGUUGCAAAAGAAGUAGGUAGCUUAACCUUCGGGAGGGCGCUUACCACUUUGUGAUUCAUGACUGGGGUGAAGUCGUAACAAGGUA